UGAUUAACCACAGCUUCCUCUGAAGUCAAUGGCAUGUAUGAAAGUUCAGCGUGUCAGGUUCUGGGGGAGAGGAGCAGAAAAGUAAGGUUUUUGUUUAGAAUGGGCAUAAUUUACAAAGGCUUUUUAGUGGCUGUACAGUAAAAACAAUAUGCCUGUAGAAAAACAAGAUCUGUCUUCUGGGUGAAGCAAGAAGAUUUUUUUCCAAUAACAGGAACUUGAUUACUGGUGAUGAAGCAAUACAACUCAAUUUGGAAAAGAAGUCACAAGAACCCAACCAUUUGAUUCUGGCAUCAUUCAAUUACUACAUUUAACAGUGAUGCAAUAGAACAAGAAACUAUCUGAAGAGCAUGUGAAAAUGGAUGACAAUAUAUUGAUGAAAUGAUCAAAUAAAUCUUUGGGACAACUUCUUAUAUUACAGUGAAUAUUAUUAAAAUAUUGUAGUCAGUUUAAACACGAUUUCAUUGACAUAUGGAUGACAAGAAUUUUCUCUAUACAGCAAAUCAAAACUAAGUUUCUCACACAAUUAUAAUUUGGUUUCAUAUGUAAAUUGAUAAAUGAACAUUGUUAUACAUAGGUUAUUAUAAAAAUACUAAUUUUAGCAGUAUAGCAUUUGGGGAUUUUUAAAAAAAAAUUGGCAUUGCUGUUUAAGAAUGCUCAACUGUUUAGCAGUCAUUUAUUGUCUCUAUCCUAGGCACUAAUUCCCUAACAAAUGCUUAGGGUCAGUACAGCCUCAGUCACUAAAUGUGAUUGUGCAUGUGGUACAUGAUAUCUCAAAUGCACGUGAAGAAUGCACUCAUAGAAAAAGCAAAAUUAAACAUUUAAUAUAUUUUUAAAAACUAGUUAACUAUUCUGUAUAAACAAAGGGAAUUUUCUCAUGAUAGUGCAUCAGAUGGUACAUAGGACAGGACUAGAUCAAAUGUCCUCCAUAAGCCUAAUGGCCAACAGGAAGGACUAAGGUAAAAUAUGUCAGGCCAGUUUUGUAGCCAACAGCACACAAAGAAGGGAUGUGGCUAGUGUCAUAUGUGGCUUCCUUUGACUCCUCAGCCUGAAUGCCCAUGCUCCCAUUCAUGACUAGGAUGACUGGCAAGAAUCUUCAGGAAGAAUCUGACGUGGGGCUUGAACCUAAGACUCUAUCACCAUACACUGCACGGAUUAGUAUGGUACAGCUUAUUCACCAAUAGACAGAGGAAGAGGACAGGUUGCAGCGAAAGGGAGCAAAUGCUUGUGAAUCAGGCAGUUUAGGCUUAGUUUUGGUUUUGGAAUUCUUGCAAUUAUUGAGCGUUUUCUAUUACUCUAUUGUACACAACUUAAUAUUUGAAAAAGGGAUGAACGAAGAGGACUGAGAUUUGUUUCUUGCUUUUCUCAGCUAAUAACCAAAAAAGAAUCAUUUCAAACAUGGCCUCUUUCAUUUUAAUGAAAACCUAAUAUUCAGAGGCUUUGCUUGGAAACAUGUGUGACUAGAGAUAAACCCAUUAGCCAUUGUACAAUUAUUCUUCUUGUAUAAAAAACGUUUCUAGGAAUUAAUAGAAGAGUCAUGAAGAAAGCAUUGGCUGUUUAAAUGCUACAUCCAAUAUUGUAAGUGAUAAUCCGAUAGAAAAUUAACUGUGCAAAUGUAAUUUUGAAUGUUCAGCAACUCUCUUCCUGAAAGGAGUUACAACUGUUGAAGAGCAUCACAUUCCCUGAGACACCAAGUAAGGGAUGAAAAAGCUUUGCUGUAGCUGUUUUUGUAUUUGGUAACAUGUUAAAAUUAAGAUAUUUACUUUAUCAAUGCAAAAGGUAUACUUAAUAUAAGAAAGUCAACGAAAUGUUAAGCAGCUUUCACUUCCCUUUGGAAA